ACUUCAAGUUGGCUGCGAGCAGGGUCUG
rnacentral:piRNA from 1 species